rnacentral:rRNA from 1 species
CCUACGGGUGGCAGCAGUGAGGAAUAUUGGUCAAUGGGCGGGAGCCUGAACCAGCCAAGUCGCGUGAGGGAAGACGGUCCUAUGGAUUGUAAACCUCUUUAGGCGGGGAGCAAUGCCGGGCACGCGUGUCCGGAGGGAGAGUACCCGCAGAAUAAGCAUCGGCUAACUCCGUGCCAGCAGCCGCGGUAAUACGGAGGAUGCGAGCGUUAUCCGGAGUUAUUGGUUUUAAAGGGUGCGUAGGCGUGUUUUUAAGUCAGCGGUAAAAUGUCCGGGCUCAAACCGGGCCGGCCGUUGAAACUGGGGAUCUUGAGUGGGCGAGAGGUAUGCGGAAUGCGUGGUGUAGCGGUGAAAUGCUUAGAGAUCACGAAGAACCCCGAUUGCGAAGGCAGCUUACUAAACUGUGACUGACAUUGAUGCUCGAAAGUGUGGGUAUCAAACAGGAUUAGAUACCCCAGUAGUC